rnacentral:rRNA from 1 species
AGCGAACGUUAGCGGCGCGCCUAACACAUGCAAGUCGCACGAGAAAGGGGGCAACCCCCGGUACAGCGGCGCACGGGUGAGUAACACGUGGGUGAUCUGCCCAGAAGAAGGGGAUAACCUCUCGAAAGGGGGGCUAAUACCGCAUAGGACCACCGGGGUUUUGGCUCUGUGGUGAAAGGGGGCCUCUGUUUACAAGCUCCUGCUUCUGGAUGAGCCCGCGUCCCAUCAGCUAGUUGGUAGGGUAAUGGCCUACCAAGGCUACGACGGGUAGCAGGUCUAAGAGGAUGGCCAGCCACACUGGAACUGAGACACGGUCCAGACUCCUACGGGAGGCAGCAGUGGGGAAUAUUGCACAAUGGGGGAAACCCUGAUGCAGCCAUGCCGCGUGUGUGAAGAAGGCCUUCGGGUUGUAAAGCACUUUCAGCGAGGAGGAAAGGUCAGUAGCUAAUAUCUGCUGACUGUGACGUUACUCGCAGAAGAAGCACCGGCUAACUCCGUGCCAGCCGCCGCGGUAAAAC